AGGUGUCUGGCAGUUUCUCUUCAGAGUUCUGCGUUUUCACUUGGAAACACCUGGGAGAUCUGAAGGGUAUCAUGACUUGCUGGCUAGAAAGUCAGGUCUUUGGUUCUGGAUUUUGUUCCCACGAUGGACAUACCUUGUGGCUGGCUCCUGCAUAUGAAGGAGUCUUCCAGCGGCUACUGGUCACUUUGAGACUGUCUUCAGGACCACACUGCAGCCCUCACUUCAAUACAUGGAUUCUAUGUGUGUGGACUUCAGCAGAUUUCCCCUAUAAACGAAUCUGGAGAGUUUAUAUCUGUGACAAGGAAAGACCAUGCAGAGGCUCCUCCAUCUUGUAUUCUUACUGCAG